GACGAACGCUGGCGGCGUGCUUAACACAUGCCAGUCGAACGGAAAGGCCCUGCUCUUGUGGGGUGCUCGAGUGGCGAACGGGUGAGUAACACGUGAGUAACCUGCCCUUGACUUUGGGAUAACUUCAGGAAACUGGGGCUAAUACCGGAUAGGAGCUCCUGCUGCAUGUUGGGGGUUGGAAAGUUUCGGCGGUUGGGGAUGGACUCGCGGCUUAUCAGCUUGUUGGUGGAGUAGUGGCUUACCAAGGCUUUGACGGGUAGCCGGCCUGAGAGGGUGACCGGCCACAUUGGGACUGCGAUACGGCCCAGACUCCUACGGGAGGCAGCAGUGGGGAAUAUUGCACAAUGGGCGGAAGCCUGAUGCAGCAACGCCGCGUGCGGGAUGACGGCCUUCGGGUUGUAAACCGCUUUCGCCUGUGACGAAGCGUGAGUGACGGUAAUGGGUAAAGAAGCACCGGCUAACUACGUG
rnacentral:rRNA from 1 species